rnacentral:rRNA from 1 species
GACGAACGCUGGCGGCGUGCUUAACACAUGCAAGUCGAACGGAAAGGCCCUGCUUUUGUGGGGUGCUCGAGUGGCGAACGGGUGAGUAACACGUGAGUAACCUGCCCUUGACUUUGGGAUAACUUCAGGAAACUGGGGCUAAUACCGGAUAGGAGCUCCUGCUGCAUGGUGGGGGUUGGAAAGUUUCGGCGGUUGGGGAUGGACUCGCGGCUUAUCAGCUUGUUGGUGGGGUAGUGGCUUACCAAGGCUUUGACGGGUAGCCGGCCUGAGAGGGUGACCGGCCACAUUGGGACUGAGAUACGGCCCAGACUCCUACGGGAGGCAGCAGUGGGGAAUAUUGCACAAUGGGAGGAAGCCUGAUGCAGCAACGCCGCGUGCGGGAUGACGGCCUUCGGGUUGUAAACCGCUUUCGCCUGUGACGAAGCGUGAGUGACGGUAAUGGGUAGAGAAGCACCGGCUAACUACGUG